CCUACGGGAGGCAGCAGUGAGGAAUAUUCCACAAUGGGGGAAACCCGUGAUGGAGCGAUGCCGCGUGCAGGAAGACGCUUUUCGGAGUGUAAACUGCUUUUAGCAAGGAAGAUUAUGACGGUACUUGUAGAAUAAGGACCGGCUAACUACGUGCCAGCAGCCGCGGUAAUACGUAGGGUCCAAGCGUUAUUCGGAAUUACUGGGCGUAAAGCGUUCGUAGGCGGUUUGAUAAGUUGGAUGUGAAAUCCUGUGGCUCAACCACAUGGACUGUGUCCAAAGCUAUCUGACUAGAGCAUAGUAGAGGCAAGUGGAAUUUGCGGUGUAGGAGUGACAUCCGUAGAUAUCGCAAGGAACACCAAUGGCGAAGGCAGCUUGCUGGGCUAUUGCUGACGCUCAGGAACGAAAGCGUGGGGAGCGAACGGGAUUAGAUACCCCGGUAGUCCACGCCGUAAACGAUGAUCACUAGCAGUAUGGAGAUUCGACCCUCUGUGUUGCCACNGCUACGACGUAGUAGUAUCGCCGUCGGGUAGGUACGGGCGGCGACGACGUUAAACCGUAACAACUAGUAAGUUAGUACGGCGUGAGACGUGCCGACGGACGACGACGAGGGAGGAGG
rnacentral:rRNA from 1 species